GACGAACGCUGGCGGCGUGCUUAACACAUGCAAGUCGAACGAUGAACCCGGAGCUUGCUCUGGGGGAUUAGUGGCGAACGGGUGAGUAACACGUGAGUAACCUGCCCUGGACUCUGGGAUAAGCGUUGGAAACGACGUCUAAUACCGGAUAGGACCUUGGAUCGCAUGAUCUGGGGUGGAAAGUUUUUUCGGUCUGGGAUGGACUCGCGGCCUAUCAGCUUGUUGGUGAGGUAAUGGCUCACCAAGGCGUCGACGGGUAGCCGGCCUGAGAGGGUGACCGGCCACACUGGGACUGAGACACGGCCCAGACUCCUACGGGAGGCAGCAGUGGGGAAUAUUGCACAAGGGGCGAAAGCCUGAUGCAGCAACGCCGCGUGCGGGAUGACGGCCUUCGGGUUGUAAACCGCUUUUAGUAGGGAAGAAGGGCUUCGGCUUGACGGUACCUGCAGAAAAAGGACCGGCUAACUACGUG
rnacentral:rRNA from 1 species